AACGAACGCUGGCGGCAGGCUUAACACAUGCAAGUCGAGCGCCCCGCAAGGGGAGCGGCAGACGGGUGAGUAACGCGUGGGAAUCUACCCGUCUCUACGGAAUAACGCAUGGAAACGUGUGCUAAUACCGUAUACGUCCUUCGGGAGCAAGAUUUAUCGGAGAUGGAUGAGCCCGCGUUGGAUUAGCUAGUUGGUGGGGUAAAGGCCUACCAAGGCGACGAUCCAUAGCUGGUCUGAGAGGAUGAUCAGCCACACUGGGACUGAGACACGGCCCAGACUCCUACGGGAGGCGGCAGUGGGGAAUAUUGGACAAUGGGCGCAAGCCUGAUCCAGCCAUGCCGCGUGAGUGAUGAAGGCCCUAGGGUUGUAAAGCUCUUUCACCGGUGAAGAUAAUGACGGUAACCGGAGAAGAAGCCCCGGCUAACUUCGUGCCAGCAGCCGCCGCCGUAA
rnacentral:rRNA from 1 species